rnacentral:lncRNA from 1 species
AGGGGAAUGUGGAGGCCAGAUCACGGCAGGCCCCCUUGCUAGCCCGCCAAGGGCUAGAACACUCUUCCCUGGCCUGAGCCAUGGAUGGCCUGGGGCUAUUUUCUGCCUUAGCACACAGCUGCCACUAUGGGAUAGUCACUUAAAGGUUUUAGACCUUGGUUCUCCUCAGGAGAGGAAAAAGGAAAGGCCAGACGCCUACUGCUCCUUUUAUUUGGGAGCCAAUGAAUCCCUCUCACCUCUCAGAAACUUCCAAAUAACCCUGUCCCUUCCAGUAAUUCUAGGAGAAUGAAACUUGACUCCCACCUGCUUCUCCUACCACCAUUCAAGCUAAUCACUCAGGGAGAGGCAGGGACAGCUUCUUUGUGUGCUGUGGUCUCCUCCUCCUCCUCCUCUUCCUCCUCCUCAGUGGCCCAGGGGUAUAAAUAAUGCCCAUCAGUGAUGUCACAGGACUAGGUGGGGAGGAAGCCACUGCUCUGCAGGGGACAUGAAGACAGAGGUCUCCAGCCAGGUGACAGGGAAGCAGGCAGAGCAGAGGAAGAGGGCCAGGAGCUCCUCUACGGGUCUGCGUUGGAGGCUUUCAUGUAGACUUACCUGCCAGACUGGGAGCUCCCUGAAGACCAGGGGCUGUGCCAUCAGGCUGGGAAUUCAAUCAAUUCUUGUCAGAGCUAAGAUGGUGAGGGGAUUUGGAAGCAGGGGUGUGAGGACUACAGCUGUGUGCUGGUCACUGGAGAAGACAGGGUGGAGUUGGACAGGACGGAUGCCCCCAAAUCCACUCCUUCUCAGUGUUGCCCCCAAGAAGAAGGCUAGAAUUAAGGGGAGAUGACACAGGAGACUGGACUUUGGCUCCAGAAGAGAAUGAACUCUCUAAGAGCAUGGAUGGGCAAGAGGUAUGAAAGCCACCCCACUCCCCCCCAUGAAAGGCCAAACAUCUGAGGAGGGGUCUGAAGCUCCAGGUGGCAGCUGGACCCAGUACCUUUAAGGUCCUCUCCAAAUCCAAGGGUCAGCCAGUGACAGUGGAUAUCCUAGUCUCAUCCACCCCCACACCUAGGGCAGCUCCUCCUAAUAACUCCAAGGAUGGGUCAGAGGCAAUGGACAGGAGGACACAGGGACCCGGCCCCAGCCAACCAGGCCACUGAAUCAGUCAGGCAAAGAGAGACUGCAGGGAAGCAUGAACACCGUGGUGGCUGCUGCAGGGCUGGAAGAUGGCCCUUGGUCUGCAGCUGCACAGCCAAAUAAAUAGGAAAAUGAACUUGCCUUGCCAGCCAGGAUAGUACACCAUCCUCACUCCUGCAGAGGAGUGAUACCUCCAGUCACCUAGCACGCUGCAGGGCACCUGCUCGUUCUUCACAAGCGAACCUGGGCCAGAGCCAGGGAGUCACUUGCCCAAAAGUCCCAGGCUACUGGCUCCGACUUGCAAGGGGCGGGGGCAGGGCACAGCCCUGGGGCUCCUUACUCACAAGCGGGUGCUCUGUCUCCCACUCUUGGCUGCCCCCACAGUGCCAUAUGCUCCUGCAGCAGCUGGGAUUCCUUUUGAAAAAUAUGUUCAUCUCAGGCAAGUCCCAAAGUGGACAGAGAUGAUAUAUAUGUUCUUUGCUGGCCCAGGAAGAGCAGGUAGGGGGAGCUCCUGACAUUUCUGGGAUUCCAAGGGAAGGAAACAUGUUACACUGUCUCAUUUCCUCCCCCAGCCCUGUUCUCUCCCAAGCAGGUGGGAAGCAUGGAAAAUUUUUUGUGUCUCUCACUUCCUUCCUAGAGCCCCUUCACAUCUAGUUCCUCCAGGCUGCUGAUGGCUGAUAAACUCCUCCACUAGGAGAUAAUAGAGAUUCAAAGUGUUGCCCCUCCCGGGAGAAUUUACAUAUUAAGUCAGGCUCUGCUUGAGGAGAAGGCUUAAUCUAGGGUCCAGAAGCUGGACAUCACGGACUUUCAGGAUGACAGGGAGAGAUGGGGAGUGGGAAUCAAAGAUGCUUUCUGGGGGGUCCUUAGCUCCUCCCUGAAUGGGGCAAGAAGGCU